rnacentral:piRNA from 1 species
CAUUCUGAAAUAAACAUCUGUUUU